rnacentral:rRNA from 1 species
GUAAGGAAUAUUGGACAAUGGACGCAAGUCUGAUCCAGCCAUGCCGCGUGAAGGAUUAAGGUCCUCUGGAUUGUAAACUUCUUUUAUAAGGGACGAAAAAAGGCUUUUCUAAGUCGUCUGACGGUACCUUAUGAAUAAGCACCGGCUAACUCCGUGCCAGCAGCCGCGGUAAUACGGAGGGUGCAAGCGUUAUCCGGAUUCACUGGGUUUAAAGGGUGCGUAGGCGGGCAGGUAAGUCAGUGGUGAAAUCCUAGAGCUUAACUCUAGAACUGCCAUUGAUACUAUCUGUCUUGAAUAUUGUGGAGGUAAGCGGAAUAUGUCAUGUAGCGGUGAAAUUCUUAGAUAUGACAUAGAACACCUAUUGCGAAGGCAGCUUACUACGCAUAUAUUGACGCUGAGGCACGAAAGCGUGGGGAUCAAACAGGAUUAGAUACCCGAGUAGUCC